rnacentral:rRNA from 1 species
AUUGAACGCUGGCGGCAGGCCUAACACAUGCAAGUCGAGCGAGCGGAGGACGGGUGAGUAAUGUAUGGGGAUCUGCCCGAUAGAGGGGGAUACAUACUGGAACCGGUGGCUACUACCGCAUACUAUCGGAUGAACCAAUAUGGGAUUCGCUAGUAGGUGGGGUAAAGGCUCACCUAGUCGACGAUCUCUAGCUGGUCUGAGAGGAUAAUAAGCCACACUGGGACUGAGACACGGCCCAGACUCCUACGGGAGGCAGCAGUGGGGAAUAUUGCACAAUGGGCGAAAGCCUGAGGCAGCCAUGCCGCGUGUAUGAAGAAGGCCUUAGGGUUGUAAAGGACUUUCAGCGGGGAGGCGUUACCCGCAGAAGAAGCAACGGCUAACUCCGUGCCAGCAGCCGCGGUAAUAC